rnacentral:siRNA from 1 species
GGCAACAUAGGUGCUGGUGAUGCA